ensembl:lncRNA
UGUCAGUUCCCUGCUCUGUUCCCUGCUGCUGCAUCGUAUUGUUUCUGACACUGUUCCUGUCUCUUCGCUGUCCGUUACAAUGAAAUGUUUUACUCCCCGUACCUGCUUCGGAUACAGUUGCUAUCUACCUGAUGACGAGGUUCAUCAACAAGGUGCUGCAAGCGAUGGUGUUUGCCAGUGUCAGUGUUUGGCUACACAGCCUGCUUUCUGGUGGAUGGUUUUCAGUCAGGACAACUGGGGUCCCAAAGACCACCGCUCAGUUCUACAGGCAGGUCGUAAAGGACAACGGUUUCCCUGGUGAUGAGACCACCAGAGGUCAAAGGGUGUUACCCAUGUGACUUCCACUGGGGCGUGGCCGACUCAACCGUACAGGUCCAUUUCCACCCCUUCUCCCCUCAAUUCUUGGACCCCCAUCUGUACAGCUGGAACCUGACAGGGGACAGGGCGCUGUAUCCUGUCCAAGGGGUCAAGCUCCACACCAGGAUGAUUACCUGGCCAUCUGAGGUCACCUGGGCUUCUUUGAGUCCACAGGGGCAUCUCACUACCGCUUCGCUCUAAACUGGUCCCUCAUCCUGCCCCAUGGAGAUCUGUUUAAUGUGCACACAGAGGCCCUGAGGGUAGACACACUGUAUAAUUCUAUCGCUGUCUCCUGACUGAGCUCCGCAAGCAGGGCCUGGAGGCCAUGGUCAUGCUCUACUACCCCAUGAACAGAGCCCCUCUGCUGGGCUUGCCUGGCCCGGUGCAUGGCUCCAGAGGCUGGCUGAACCGGAGCACGGUGGAGGCCAGGGCUACAGGGCUGGGCCCUGGGUGAGUUAUUGGAUCACCGUCAAUGAGCCCAACAGACUGAUGGAGUGGAGAGGCGCAGCAUCUGGCAGCCCAUAGCCUCCUGCUGGCCCACACUAAGGCCUGGAGGCUAUAUGAGAGGGAGCAUCUCAGCCAACAGAGGAUGUGUCCCUGGCCCUGCACGCAGACUGGGUAGAACACAUCAACCCCUUCCUGGAGUCACAUGCAACCACCGCUCAGAUUUCUGUGUUUUUUUUUUAACCUUUAUUUAACCAGCUCGUCAGUUAGAUGGCGUCAACCUAAAGAGCUUCUACAUCUGGAAACUGCAGGAUCGACACGUUCGGCCUCUUCACCUCUUUCCACCACCGGUCACAACCCAAAACCUCCAUCGCAGCCUAACGACGGAUCAUUGACUGCAGUGGUUUCCCUGGCAACAACGUCACAUCUUCCUGUAGGGUCAGCAACCGCCGGACAGUGUGUUCCAUCUGCGCUCGCAUCUCAGAGAACAAACCCCUGCUGUUCUUCACUGCAUGUCUCCUCAUCACGCUAGCUGUGCUAGUGGCAGUCGUCAUCGUCAGGAGGAAGAGGGCUAGGAGUAGGGGGUGCCGGUGUGUCCUGUCCCAUUAGGGAUGAAGUGUCAGCUGUGGGAGAGAGUGGCCCUGCAGCGUGUGACAAAGGAUCCGAGUGGUCAGCUGCUAGGCGUUUGGUCCUGUCGUAAUGGUUCUUGGGGACAGGUCUAGGAUCCGCUUACCCUCCUGAAAUCCAAACCUUGAACUGAGAGGAAAAACACAAAACUGACUGUAGAGCAGUGUCUAGGGGGAAACUUCAUUCUAAUCCACAUGGGAUUGUGCUCAACACAGCGGGAUCAGUGAGGGCCAGGGGGUCAUCUUUACCAAUACCAAGUGACUAAUAGUCUCUGUCUGAGCGCUAGAGAUCCCACAUAUUGAAAAACAAUGUAUCUCCAAUGAAUACAAUUGACAGUUUGUAGCCUAUAAACUAUCAGAAAUGUAUUAUGAAUCCUCAUGCUGCCAAGGCAGCAGCUACUCUUCCUGGGGUCCAGCUAAAUUAAUGCAGUUUAUACCAUUUUAAAAGCAUUACAAUACAUUCACAGAUUUCACAACACACUGUGUGCCCUCAGGCCCCUACUCCACCACUACCACAUAUUUACAGUACAAAAUCCAUUUGUCUGUAGUGCGUCUGUUAUGUGUGUAGGCAUGUGUCUGUGCCUAUGUUUGUGUUGCCUCACAGUCCCAGCUGUUCCAUAAGGUGUAUUUUAUAUAUUUUUUUUAAUCACAUUUUACUGCUUGCAUCAGUUACUUGAUGUGGACUAGAGUUCCAUGUAGUCAUGGCUCUAUGUAGUACUGUACGCCUCCCAUAGUCUGUUCUGGACUUGGGGACUGUGAAGAGAUCUCUGGUGACAUGUCUUGUGGGGUAUGCAUAGAUGUCCGAGCUGUGCUGCAGUAGUUCAAACAGACAACUCGGUGCUUUAAACAUGUCAAUACCUCUCAUAAAUACAAGUAGUGAUGUAGUCAAUCUAUCGACCACUUUGAGCAAGGAGAGAUUGACAUGCAUAUUAAUAUUAGCUCUCUGUGUACAUCCAAGGCCCAGCCGUGCUGCCCUGUUCUGAGCCAAUUGCAAUUUUCCUAAGUCCCUUUUUGUGGCACAUGACCACAUGACUGAACAAUAGUCCAGGUGAGACAAAACUAGGGCCUGUAUGACCUGCCUUGUUGAUAGUGUUAAGAAGGUAGAAACUAGGGCCUGUAGGACCUGCCUUGUUGAUAGUGUUGUUAAGAAGGUAGAGCAGCGCUUUAUUAUGGACUUUUUUAUUCUCCCCAUCUUAGCUACUGUUGUAUCAAUAUAUUUUGACCAUGACAGUUUACAAUCCAGGGUUACUCCAUGCAGUUUGGUCACCUGAUUUGUCCCAAAUACAAUGAUUUUAGUUUUAGAAAUAUUUAUGACUAACUUAUUCCUUGCCACCCACUCUGAAACUAACUGCACCUCUUUGUUAAGCAGUCAUUUUGGUCGCUGUAGUAGCUGACAUGUAUAGUGUUGAGUCAUCCGCAUACAUAGACACUCUGGCUUUACUCAAAGCCAGUGGCAGGUCAUUAAUAAAGAUUGAAAAAAGUAAGGGGCCUAGACUGAUUGUGUAUCGUGUAGGCCAACAAUAGACUGCCCUGUAUGACUUGUUAGUGUGCAUCACUCAGUGUCCUGAUCUCAUGUCUUGGAGACUUGUAAUCAUAGGGAGUUCACAGGGCGUCUGAACUGAUGGCAGAAGUAUUUUUCUCCCUUGGCUCCAGAGCCAUGUUAUCUAUGGAUGGCCAACUCAAGCACUUGUUUAGUUCGACUAAUUUAUUGCGCAAUUUUAUUGAGGGGGUAAAGAUGAUGUGUGAUGUCAUUGUAAAAACAUAUGUUAUUAUGUAAAUUAAACCAUAAUUUGCUAUAUAUGAAAUUCAAUAAAAUACAACUGUGUUGCAGCUUUCCCUUUUUCAAAUUGAUGUUAUCUGUUG